UCCAUGCAACAAGUUGCAUCUAGGGAUCGACCAAACCAUGGAAGUGCAGAUUUUAGUGGACGUAAACCAUCAUUCAGGGAUCAUGACUGGGUGGCUUUUCCUAAUCCGCGGUACCAGAGAAGUCUUUAAAUACCAAUACAAGCAAAUGUGUUGGCAUUAUGAGAAUGAUACCUACAUCAUUUUUCUUUGUUAUACAUUUCGGAGCUGAAACUGGUGAUGAGGACUGAUGAAUACAGUCCGAACCCUGUCAUAUCCUCUGCUAAUACAGUUAAGGCUAGGUAUUUAAUAUGCAAACUAAGAAUAGCAUAUGCAAGUAAAUAAACAUCCUACAGAAGAAUUUGCUGUUGUACUUGAUUAUGAUAUAGUGUUAAUUAAUAAUGUGAAAGGUCAUGAGCUUGAAGUUCAUGAUUAUGUUUCACAUUAUUAAUUAACACUA
rnacentral:misc_RNA from 1 species